rnacentral:rRNA from 1 species
UACGGAGGGGGCUAGCGUUGUUCGGAAUGACUGGGCGUAAAGCGCGCGUAGGCGGAUCAUCAAGUCGGGGGGUGAAAUCCCGGGGCUCAACCCCGGCACGGCCUUCGAGACUGGUGGUCUUGAGUUCGAGAGAGGUGAGUGGAAUUCCGAGUGUAGAGGUGAAAUUCGUAGAUAUCGGAAGGAACAUCAGUGGCGAAAGCGGCUUCCUGGACCAGUACUGACGUCAGGCACGAAAGCGUGGGGGAGCAAACAGG